CGGAGAUGGCGACCGGCGCACGGGUGAGUAACACGUAUCCAACCUGCCGAUAACUCGGGGAUAGCCUUUCGAAAGAAAGAUUAAUACCCGAUGGUAUAAUCAGACCGCAUGGUUUGAUUAUUAAAGAAUUUCGGUUAUCGAUGGGGAUGCGUUCCAUUAGGCAGUUGGUGAGGUAACGGCUCACCAAACCUUCGAUGGAUAGGGGUUCUGAGAGGAAGGUCCCCCACAUUGGAACUGAGACACGGUCCAA
rnacentral:rRNA from 1 species